CCUACGGGGGGCUGCAGUGGGGAAUUUUCCACAAUGGGCGAAAGCCUGAUGGAGCAACACCGCGUGCAGGAUGAAGGCCCUAGGGUCGUAAACUGCUUUUAUGAGUGAUAAUUAUGAUAGUAGCUCAAGAAUAAGGGUCGGCUAACUACGUGCCAGCAGCCGCGGUCAUACGUAGGACCCAAGCGUUAUCCGGAAUUACUGGGCGUAAAGAGUUGCGUAGGCGGCUUAUUAAGCAAGGUGUGAAAUCGUACGGCUCAACCGUACACACAUACUUUGAACUGGUAAGCUAGAGUAUGGGAGAGGUUAUUGGAAUUCCAAGUGUAGGAGUGAAAUCCGUAGAUAUUUGGAGGAACACCGAUGGCGUAGGCAGAUAACUGGCCCAUUACUGACGCUCAGGCACGAAAGCGUGGGUAGCAAACGGGAUUAGAUACCCCAGUAGUC
rnacentral:rRNA from 1 species